rnacentral:rRNA from 1 species
GAGUUUGAUCAUGGCUCAGAUUGAACGCUGGCGGCGUGCUUAACACAUGCAAGUCGAGCGGCAGCGCGGUAGCAAUACUGGCGGCGAGCGGCGAACGGGUGAGUAAUGCUUCGGAAUCUUCCUAGUAGUGGGGAAUAACCUGGGGAAACUCAGGCUAAUACCGCAUACGACCUACGGGUGAAAGCAGGGGAUCGCAAGACCUUGCGCUAUUAGAUGAGCCGAAGUCGGAUUAGCUAGUUGGUAGGGUAACGGCCUACCAAGGCGACGAUCCGUAGCUGGUCUGAGAGGACGACCAGCCACACUGGGACUGAGACACGGCCCAGACUCCUACAGGAGGCAGCAGUGGGGAAUAUUGGACAAUGGGGGCAACCCUGAUCCAGCGACGCCGCGUGUGUGAAGAAGGCCUGCGGGUUGUAAAGCACUUUUAGUGGGGAUGAAAAGCCGAGGGUUAAUACCCUUCGGUCUUGACCUAACCCAAAGAAAAGCACCGGCUAACUCUGUGCCAGCCGCCGCUGUAAG